AAGCACCGAUCAGCAGCUGGCGGCUCGAUCAGCUGGCAUGACUUGUUACAAUUUGCAACAAAGCAGACGGCACGUAACAUAGAGUGACAUUUGAUUACAACACUAGUGGCAUGCUUGGAAUGAGAGACAAAGAGGGCAAAAUCUCACCCCUCGCCCCUGGCCAACGACCGGGAUUUUCCGUAUGCAGUGUCUGGAUUUUUAAGCUGGGCUGAGUUUGUGCGCGCUAUAGGUGACCAUUUGGUUUUCCUGCUAUUUGCGGUCCACACGGGAGCACCGGGAAAAACGCGUCCGCACCUUGAUACUUUAACACUGUCGCCUAUCGUCCUUGUAUAUGUGGAUAAAGUCCCGAUGAUCUAGAUGUGCUCACGCCAAACCACUU